rnacentral:rRNA from 1 species
GACGAACGCUGGCGGCGUGCUUAACACAUGCAAGUCGAGCGGAAAGGUCCUUCGCUGUACUCUAUCGCCGAACGGGUGAGUAACACGUUAGUAACCUGCCCCCGACUUUGGGAUACCCCUCUGACUCGGGGGCUACUACCGUAUACGACACUGCUUCGCAUGGGGUCUUUGUUGUACGUUUUUCGGCUUGUGUUGGGCUCGCUGUCUAUCAGCUCGCUCGUUAAGUGCUGGCAUACCAAGGCGCCGCGGGGUAGCCGGCCUGUGAGUGCGAACGGCGACAAGGGGACUGAGACACGGACCAGAAUCGUACGGGAGGCAGCAGUGGGAAAUAUUGCACAAUAGGCGGAAGCCUGAUGCAGCGACGCCGCGUGAGGGAUGACGGCCUUCGGGUGGUAAACAAAUUUCAGCAGGGACGAAGCGUAAGUGACGGUACCUGAAGAAGAAGCGACGGCCAACUACGUG